rnacentral:rRNA from 1 species
GACGAACGGCCUGGCGGGCGUGGGAUUAGGUCAUGCAAGUCGAACGGUAGGAUACCUUCGGGUAUCUGAGAGUGGCGAACGGGUGAGUAACACGUAGGUGAUCUACCCUCAAGAUUGGGACAACCCAGGGAAACUUGGGCUAAUACCGGAUGAAAGCAGCAGUGAUGUUAGUUUGAAAGGUGGCGUAAGCUGCCGUUUGGGGAUGAGCCUGCGCUCUAUUAGUUAGUUGGCGGGGUAAAGGCCCACCAAGGCGAUGAUAGAUAGGCGGCCUUAACGGGUGGUCGCCCACACUGGGAUUGAGAUACGGCCCAGACUCCUACGGGAGGCAGCAGUCGAGAAUAGUCUACAAUGGCCGAAAGGCUGAUAGUGCGACGCCGCGUGAACGAAGAAGCCCUUCGGGGUGUAAAGUUCUUUUAUAUGUGAGCAGUGCUUUCUAUGUGAACAGCAUGGGGAGAGAGAUAUUAGCAUAUGAAUAAGCAACGGCUAACUCCGUG